AACUUUUAUAUGUGCUUUGAAAGCACUAAAUAGACAAUGUCUAAAAGUUU
rnacentral:tRNA from 1 species